CGUAGGGAAAGACGCAGCAGUGGGACUGCUGGGUGCCUGGCGGGCCUUCCGAGGCACCGCUGGCCUGUUCUCCAAAGUGGCUGCACCGCUUCCGUUCCCUCCAGCACGUGUCACGUUCCCACUGUUACACACCCUUGUCGACACUUAUCUUCCGUGUUCCUGGUGACGGCCGCCCUGAUAUCCAAUUGUUCCAGCACUAUUCGCUGAAAAGGCUAUUUUUCUCCCCACUGAAUGGUCUUAGCGUCUUGUCGAAAAUCAACUGAUCAUAAAUAGAAGGAUUUAUUUCUGGACUCUUAACCUUACUUCAUUGACCCAUCACAGUCUGAUGACAGUAGCUUUUGUUUCAGGACUAGCUGUUGGUUUCUGCAAAAAGGCAGCUGGCGAUUUGACAGGAAUCAUGUUGACGCUGUGGGUCAGUGUGGGAAGGACCGUGGCUGAGCCGGGCCCAUUUCAAGCAGCUGCACCUGCUAAGAGCUGCUGCAAGAGGAUGCCCCACCACCGCGCGUGGACGCAUAGCCGCGGCUUCUGGGAAGCACACAGCUCGCUUUACAGGCCAUCAUGACACGUGUGAUGACGAUGUCUUGGGGCUUCGAUACUUAAAUGCCACCUCUCCUGGGUGGGUCCAGAACCUGGGGACUAAUUUUCCUCUGAUCACAUUAAAAAAAAAAAUAAAAAAGAUUUUUUUUUUUUUUCUGGUUACCACAGUUACGCAAAGUCAUCGUUUGGAGACUAGAAAAAAGCUAAAAGAAGAAAUUUUAAAACACAUAGUAUGUUGAUCAUGGGGAGGCAGUGUGUGGGGUGACAGGGCACGUGGAAACUCUGUACUCAGUUUUGCUGUGAACCUAAA